ACUGCUGCUUCUUCCGGCCACAGCAUAUCCAGUCUGCUCUAAAAUUCAAUCAUAGACCUGUGAAAUAACACACCAUAUGGAUAAGGUUGUCUUGUUCGAUGGGAGGUUAAGAUCGAGCUUGCGGUCUUUCCCUAAAUCAGAUAUUUUGCGUCCCUCAGAACUUGGUAAACAAAAAAAAAACCAGCUUGGUUGUCAUAGUGAUUGUACCUUCGUACAGAUGUGGACACUGUCAAGAGUAUGAGAAAAGGACCUUAAUAUGCACCAACGAUCUAGUUGGGCCUUGCACAAUCCUACUCCACAUUCGGUACACCAUCAGUGGUGUGAGGCUCAAGUGCUUCUUCACCAUGCCUCUCCGGCAGCUCCUCAGACAGUGGACUCAAAUCGCGCAAACAUCAGCAGCAGAUGUGGUUACUGUUAAGAACCUUGGUCUCCUUUGAAUCUGUGGAGCAACCUCAUCAUUCCUUAAGUGAUUAAGUAUUACAAGAGUCCCUCUCAUACUAGGCACCUCCAGCAAAACUCAAACUACACCCGGGUGAAUCCUUCCGGUUUGCAUCACAAUAAGUGAUGAGACUCGCAGAGGUAGGACAAAUAAAUGGAAAAAAAAUUCAAAAUGGAGUCAAAUGUGUGUAGUGUAAGCUCUCUUUUCAUCAACAUUGUCUCUAUGUCACUGGCGGUGAGAACAUAAGUUUCCCAUCACCACAGCAUACCAGCAAGCUU